rnacentral:rRNA from 2 species
GUUAACGACCAAAGCGAAGGGGGUACACCCGUUCCCAUUCCGAACACGGAAGUUAAGCCCUUCAGCGAUCUGGUCGGUACUAACGCAGUCAACUGCUCGUUUUAUCGAGUGGUUGGUGGUUUUGGGAAAACCAGGACGUUGUUAACC